rnacentral:lncRNA from 1 species
GGGCUCCAAACUGUGCAGCAUGUAUUGAAUACAGUAGAAAACUGUAACACAAUGAUGAAGAUCUGCCCCGACUCGUCGGUGCUCCAGCCAUAUUUGCUCAUCCACACCUUUAGUUGGCUGUCCCACAGACCCCCGAGCAUCUUGGCCAGCAGCCAGUGGUCGAUGUGCUGGUCUGUACCUCCCACAAUGUGCAGCAUGAUACAAAUAUGGGGAAUACGUCAACAUACAUCUUGAUUUGUUGAUUGCCCUGUAAAGUUACUGCAGCAAUAGGUAAAUACAGUCUUUGGAACCUGCUAAUCAGUUAAAAAAACUGAAAUAAGAAACAGAGCUAAUUAAGAUGUUAUCUUAAUAAUAGGAAUUCAGUGGAUGUGUCAUGGGCUUGAGCCAGAGUAGACAGUACCUCAAAGUUUUCAAAGAUGAAUCAGGGCAAGCCAGAGGAUCCCUGAAAGGCUAGAGGUAGAAAUGGGGAAGUUUAGGAAUGUACAGUGGAAGAUCUAGGGAGA